AUUGAACGCUGGCGGCAGGCCUAACACAUGCAAGUCGAGCGGAUGAGAGGAGCUUGCUUCUCGAUUCAGCGGCGGACGGGUGAGUAAUGCCUAGGAAUCUGCCUGGUAGUGGGGGACAACGUUUCGAAAGGAACGCUAAUACCGCAUACGUCCUACGGGAGAAAGCAGGGGACCUUCGGGCCUUGCGCUAUCAGAUGAGCCUAGGUCGGAUUAGCUAGUUGGUGAGGUAAUGGCUCACCAAGGCGACGAUCCGUAACUGGUCUGAGAGGAUGAUCAGUCACACUGGAACUGAGACACGGUCCAGACUCCUACGGGAGGCAGCAGUGGGGAAUAUUGGACAAUGGGCGAAAGCCUGAUCCAGCCAUGCCGCGUGUGUGAAGAAGGUCUUCGGAUUGUAAAGCACUUUAAGUUGGGAGGAAGGGUUGUAGAUUAAUACUCUGCAAUUUUGACGUUACCGACAGAAUAAGCACCGGCUAACUCUGUGCCAGCCGCCGCCGUAACAC
rnacentral:rRNA from 1 species